rnacentral:tRNA from 1 species
AUCGGCUUGGUGUAGUGGCAGCAUGCUUGACUUUGAAUCAGGAGGCGCGGGUUCAAUCCCCGCAGUCGAUA